rnacentral:misc_RNA from 1 species
AAAGUGCGAUAAGCACUGCGAAUUGCAGAAUUCAGCGAAUCAGCAGAUCUCUCAACGCAAAAGGUGCUAGGUAGACUUGUCUGCCUGGCAGGCAUGAUUCAACGUCGUUACAUUUGCUAUUUUGACAAUUUUGAAUUUAUUCAGUAUUUGUUGAAUUUAGCAUUUCUGUUUCUUUCAAUAGAAACGCGUGGUUCGCUUCAUAGUACUAACCUAUUAUGACGGUGAAUGUCUUCAGCUCUGCAUUAUUCAAUACUUCUUUGUUACUGCAUACGAGCAUCUAAACCUUAUCGACUUGAAUUAUGCCAGACUACCCGCUGAACUUAA